UACAUAGGGGGCAAGCGUUAUCCGGAUUUAUUGGGUGUAAAGGGUGCGUAGACGGAGAAACAAGUUGGUUGUGAAAUCCCUCGGCUCAACCGAGGACCUGCAACCAAAACUAUUUCCCUUGAGUGUCGGAGAGGAAAGUGGAAUUCCUAGUGUAGCGGUGAAAUGCGUAGAUAUUAGGAGGAACACCGGUGGCGAAGGCGGCCUGCUGGACUGUGACUGACGUUGAGGCCCGAAGGCGUGGGGAGCAAACAGG
rnacentral:rRNA from 1 species